rnacentral:rRNA from 2 species
UAAGCGGAGGAAAAGAAACUAACAAGGAUUCCCCUAGUAACGGCGAGUGAAGCGGGAAGAGCUCAAAUUUGUAAUCUGGCCCUUUCAGGGUCCGAGUUGUAAUCUCGAGAAGUGUUUUCCGCGCCGGACCGCAUACAAGUCUGUUGGAAUACAGCGUCAUAGUGGUGAGAGCCCCGUAAUUGAUGUGGAUGCCCGGUGCUUUGUGAUACACUUUCGAAGAGUCGAGUUGUUUGGGAAUGCAGCUCAAAUUGGGUGGUAAAUUCCAUCUAAAGCUAAAUAUUGGCGAGAGACCGAUAGCGAACAAGUACCGUGAGGGAAAGAUGAAAAGCACUUUGGAAAGAGAGUUAACAGUACGUGAAAUUGUUGGAAGGGAAACGCUUGAAGUCAGACUUGCUAUUCGGAAUUCAGCCGCAAGGUGUACUUUUCGAUUUGCAGGCCAGCAUCAGUUUUUGGGGGUGGAAAAGGGUGGAGAGAAGGUAGCAACCUUGGUUGUGUUAUAGCUCUUUACUGGAUUCAUCUUUGGGGACUGAGGAUCGCAGUGCGCAAUUUACUUUGCAAACCUUUCGAGGUUUUCGUACUUAGGAUGCUGGUGGAAUGGCUUUAAACGACCCGUCUUGAAACACG